UAGCGGCGGACGGGUGAGUAAUGCUUAGGAAUCUGCCUAUUAGUGGGGGACAACAUUCCGAAAGGAAUGCUAAUACCGCAUACGCCCUACGGGGGAAAGCAGGGGAUCUUCGGACCUUGCGCUAAUAGAUGAGCCUAAGUCAGAUUAGCUAGUUGGUGGGGUAAAGGCCUACCAAGGCGACGAUCUGUAGCGGGUCUGAGAGGAUGAUCCGCCACACUGGGACUGAGACACGGCCCAGACUCCUACGGGAGGCAGCAGUGGGGAAUAUUGGACAAUGGGCGAAAGCCUGAUCCAGCCAUGCCGCGUGUGUGAAGAAGGCCUUUUGGUUGUAAAGCACUUUAAGCGAGGAGGAGGCUACUUAGAUUAAUACUCUAGGAUAGUGGACGUUACUCGCAGAAUAAGCACCGGCUAACUCUGUGCCAGCAGCCGCGGUAAUACAGAGGGUGCGAGCGUUAAUCGGAUUUACUGGGCGUAAAGCGUGCGUAGGCGGCUUUUUAAGUCGGAUGUGAAAUCCCUGAGCUUAACUUAGGAAUUGCAUUCGAUACUGGGAAGCUAGAGUAUGGGAGAGGAUGGUAGAAUUCCAGGUGUAGCGGUGAAAUGCGUAGAGAUCUGGAGGAAUACCGAUGGCGAAGGCAGCCAUCUGGCCUAAUACUGACGCUGAGGUACGAAAGCAUGGGGAGCAAACAGGAUUAGAUACCCUGGUAGUCCAUGCCGUAAACGAUGUCUACUAGCCGUUGGGGCCUUUGAGGCUUUAGUGGCGCAGCUAACGCGAUAAGUAGACCGCCUGGGGAGUACGGUCGCAAGACUAAAA
rnacentral:rRNA from 1 species